rnacentral:siRNA from 1 species
CAAGGUUCUCAUGGCCAAUGA